rnacentral:lncRNA from 1 species
CAUACAUAUAUUUCUAGAAAAAAAUUUAAAUUCUUUAAAGACAUCAAAUUGCAUUUAAAAAAGCAGAUUUAUUUGAGAAACAUGAAAACACAAGAGAAUACUUCGUAGGCCACUUUACAGAAUAAAAUAGGCAAUAACAAUAUAUACAUUUUUGCAAACAUGAACACUCAGAUGUACUAAUAGUCACGGGGUUAGUAGCUACAGGAAGUAAACAAUAUUACAAAGAAAUAGGUCAAAAAGCAAAAUAUAUAAAUGUAUUAUCACCAUGGUUGGUAAUUGUGCACAUUCAGGUUUAUAACUGCAGUCAUCUAUACUAAGUCUUUUGAGGAGAUUGUUAAAAACUGAGAUUGGUUACCACUGAAUAUGCAGUCACUCAGGGAGCCCAGAUCUUGAGAAAUUGUCUUUUGUAAAUGCAGAUGUACAAAAAGGGCAUCUCUUCAUUUAUUUUACAUACACACAAAGUCAGCAUGUCAAUGCAUUUUCUCUGAGUCAAAUUUGCACAAAAUGAAUUUGAACUUUCUCUAAAAGUUUUAAUACAACUUAUACCUCCAGUGUUGGAAGUGAUGCUAAGAUAAAAUAAAUAAUAUAGCAAAUUGUGAUAUGGUAGUGUGGUGUACCCCCUUUUUUCUAGUACUGAAGGCUUUAUGCAUACACUGUAUAUUUUUAAAAAUGAUUUGAAUCCCUUUAUAAGACAUUUAUUAGAGUGUCUGCUAGGGGUCAAGCAUUGCUGUUAGGGAUACAGUGAAGAAAAGAACAGGGCAACCCACUCAUCCUUUGUGGAGGUCUCAGUCCAAAGAAAAGAGAAAGUUAGGCUCCAGCAGUGCUAAAAAUAAAUGCACCAUAAACCAAAUUUCAGGUUAUGGAAGGAUUAUAAGACAAAAGAACUGGCCUUAUAUCAGCAUUAUAUCAAUAAACUGUCUGUCUGCAUUGCUCUCUGUUUUAUCUCCUCUGCAGACCUUUAGUAUGCGCAGCAGACACAAAAUAACCACUUAAGUCUCCAAUGUGAGAUCAAGAACAUACAUUUGAACUGACUUCUUUUACUAAGGUAUUGU